GCCAGGCACAGCGGUGUGUACCUGUAGUCCCAGCUACUCAGAAGGCUGAGGCUGGAGAAUCGCUUGAGUCCAGGAGUUCUGGGCUGUAGUGCACUAUGCUGAUCGGGUGUCUGAACUAAGAUCUGCAUCAAUAUGGUGACCUCCCGGGAGCAGGGGACCACCAGGUUGCCUACGGAGGAGUGAACAGGCCGAGGCUGGAAACAGAGCAGGUUAAAACUCCUGUGCUGAUCAGUAGUGGGAUCGUGCCUGUGAAUAGCCACUGCACUCCAGCCUAGGCAACAUAGCGAGAUCCAUCUCUA
ensembl:misc_RNA Metazoa_SRP Metazoan signal recognition particle RNA